rnacentral:ncRNA from 2 species
CUCUUAUCCAGAGCGGCGGAGGGAUGUGCCCGACGAAGCCCAGCAACCAUCGUAUAACGAAAAGGUGCUAAUUCACAUUAAGCAAAAGAAGCUUAUGAAGAUGAGAG